GCUGGCGGCGCGCAUCAUACAUGCAAGUCGAGCGAGGGCUCUUCUUCCGCAAGGAAGGGGAGUUCCUAGCGGCGAACGGGUGCGUAACACGUGGGCAACCUGCCCCGUCGUGGGGAAUAAGCCCGGGAAACCGGGUCUAAUGCCGCAUGAGAUCACCGAUCGCAUGGUCGGUGAAGAAAGCCUUCGGGCGCGACGGGAUGGGCCCGCGGCCUAUCAGCUAGUCGGUGGGGUAACGGCCUACCGAGGCUUUGACGGGUAGCUGGUCUGAGAGGACGACCAGCCACAUGGGGACUGAGACACGGCCCCGACUCCUACGGGAGGCAGCAGUAAGGAAUCUUCCGCAAUGGGCGAAAGCCUGACGGAGCGACGCCGCGUGUGGGAUGAAGUCUCUAGGGAUGUAAACCACUGUCGGAGGGGAAGAGAAUGGACGGUACCCUCCAAGAAAGCCCCGGCUAACUACGUGCCAGCAGCCGCGGUAACACGUAGGGGGCGAGCGUUAUCCGGAUUUACUGGGCAUAAAGCGCGUGUANGCGGCUGGUCAAGCGUGGCGUGAAAUCUCCGGGCUC
rnacentral:rRNA from 1 species